GCCGGGCGCGGUGGCUCACGCCUGUAAUCCCAGCACUUUGGGAGGCUGAGGCGGGUGGAUCACUUGAGGUCAGGAGUUUGAGACCAGCCUGGCCAACAUGGUGAAACCCCGCCUCUG
rnacentral:SRP_RNA from 2 species